UCGAGAAUUUUUCUCAAUGGGGGAAACCCUGAAGGAGCGACGCCGCGUGGGGGAUGAAGGGCUUCGGCCCGUAAACCCCUGUCAUUUGCGAACAAACCUUACGGUUGAACAUUCCGUGAGUUGAUAGUAGCGAAAGAGGAAGGGACGGCUAACUCUGUGCCAGCAGCCGCGGUAAUACAGAGGUCCCGAGCGUUGUUCGGAUUCACUGGGCGUAAAGGGUGCGCAGGUGGGUUGGCAAGUUCGAUGUGAAAGCCCCGGGCUUAACCCGGGAAAGGCAUUGGAAACUGCUGAUCUGGAGGAUCGGAGGGGGGACUGGAAUUCUUGGUGUAGCAGUGAAAUGCGUAGAUAUCAAGAGGAACACCAGUGGCGAAGGCGAGUCCCUGGACGAUACCUGACACUGAGGCACGAAAGCCAAGGGAGCAAACAG
rnacentral:rRNA from 1 species